rnacentral:misc_RNA from 1 species
GAAAUGCGAUAAGUAAUGUGAAUUGCAGAAUUCAGUGAAUCAUCGAAUCUUUGAACGCACAUUGCGCCCCCUGGUAUUCCGGGGGGCAUGCCUGUUCGAGCGUCAUUUCACCACUCAAGCCUCGCUUGGUAUUGGGCGACGCGGUCCGCCGCGCGCCUCAAAUCGACCGGCUGGGUCUUUCGUCCCCUCAGCGUUGUGGAAACUAUUCGCUAAAGGGUGCCGCGGGAGGCCACGCCGUAAAACAACCCCAUCUCUAAGGUUGACCUCGGAUCAGGUAGGGAUACCCGCUGAACUUAAGC